AAACCCUGUCUCUACUAAAAAUACAAAUUAGCCAGGUGUGGUGGUGCAUGCCUGUAAUCCCAGGUACUCGGGAGGCUAAGGUGGGACAAUCGCUCGAACCUGGGAGGCAGAGGUUGUGGUGAGCAGAGAUCAUGCCAUUGCACUCCAGCCUGAGCAACAAAAGCGAAACUCCAGCUCAAAAAAAAAACAAAAAAAAAAAACCACUUUUGCCCACCACCAGUUCUUACAGUUCUUUUAUACAUUCUAGGAUUCAAAAGGUUGAAGUGUUAUACAAUUCUCUACCAAGGGGAAGCAGAACCUCUUGGAGAGUACCUCUUUCCAUAUAUUGAGAAAAGAAAUCACAAUGAGUUAAGAACAGUGGUUCUCAAAAUUUGAAAUCAGAACCAGCAGCAUUAUCUGGGAACUUGUGAGAAAUGCCAGUUCUCAGAUCCCAGCCCAGACAUACUGACUGAGGAACCCUGAAAGUGGGUCCCAGCUGCCUGUGUUUUAAUAAGCCCUGCAGGAGAUUCUGACGCACCUAAACUUUGAGCACCACGGACAGACCAUGGGAUGGUUUUCAGACAGCAAUACUGCUUCCAGUAAUGUUGAGGACAGUGAUAAAAGGACAAAAGAAAAGUAUAACUGACCAAGAGCCCCAACUGCUAGCUUUGGAAUCCAUCACCUCAAUGAACCAGGAUGUGCUUUCUCAUGCGCUGCUCCCAGAUAACAACUGAGUGAGGGAGAGAUAACUGCUGAGGCCCAUUCCUGGGCAGGACUCCUUUGACAGGCAUUUCCUGUAAUAAAUCUCUUACACAUUUAAUCCUGUCUUGGAGACUUCUUCAAAGAAAAUAUGAAUAAAAGUAAUUUUGCAUGAGCUAAAAAUAGUAUCAGAGAAAAGAACCGUAUAACAAGAACAAGAUCUGAUCAGCAGCAGUGAUCAUAUAUAGGAUAAACAUUAGUCCGUUCAAUAGUUUAUCAGCACUGACGUCACACAACAACCAACGAGAAAGGAAGUGUUAAAUAUUGUGUUCUAAGAAGAUCAAGAAAUCAAAUGUCCUCAAAAGAAGAGCUAACUGAACAAACUCCAUCCCUCUUCUCUUAGGAGAUAGGGCCCGCAGAAAGCCCUGCAGAUUCCAAUAUGAUACUAAAGCAUAUGUAAAUUUCCAGUAACGCUACUGGAUCAAGACAACGUAUAACAAUCACAUGUAUCUCUGGCCAAGCAAAAUUUAAAGAAUAUAUUCUCCUGGGGAAAUACAUAGGUUAUAAAAAAUCAUAACCUAUGUAUAAUGCAUGGGCUUAAAAGAAUUUUAUUAACAUGACAACUGAAGGUCAAUUUAAAAAGACAUUGAGAAGGAUGCCUAGUACUCGGGUCCAAAUUGCCUUAGGAAAAGCAACCAUGUUCUGUGAUCCAUCCAAGAAUGAAUUGGUUGGUGAAGCAGAUGUUACAUAUAGGGACCCAAGUAAAUGGUAGAUGUUAGUAAUUGCCAUUAAAAUAAAAUUAAGGUUGCUUUACUGUUGAUGUUCAUAUUUAAUGUCUAAAGGACUUUUGUACAUAUAAAACCACACCCACUAUUGUUUGUUCUUCAUUCAAAGGCCAAUCUGUUACACUAGUUAGUAAACCAAACAAAUAAAUACGGUGUUGUACUAUUUAAGGUGUUCCAAUCACCUGGAGGGCUUAUUAAAACACAGGUAGCUGAGGGCCACUUUCAAGGUUCCUCAGUCAGUAUGUCUGGGCGGGGAUCUGAAAACUGGCAUUUCUCACAAGUUCCCUAUAUGUAUGUUUGGAAAGAAAUGACUAUAUCCCAGUUACAUAAUUAAAUGACUACUUCUGUUAAGUCUAGCCAGGAGUAGAGUAAAUACUGCUAUAAUCUUAAAAGAGUAUAAAAGCAUAUAUAGGAAAAAUUAAUGAAUUCAACUCUUUCAAUUAAAUGUAGCAGUUUAGUUAAGCGCCACCACAGUAAGUUUUGUGAUAAUUAUAUUUGGAUAAGUUUUGUGUACUAUUUAAGGUAUCUGAAGUACUCAAAAGACUAACUUCAGAUAAAUUCUAUAAAUGGAAACUAAAUUGCUUAAAAGCACUUAUUUAUUAAGGAAUAACUGAACCUAGAGGAAGCAAGGUGGGUACAAUAGAACCUUCUUAAAUAAAAGUACUGAAGAAAAAUUGAUAUUCAAAAUUUCAUUUGUUAACUAGCUAGUGUAACAGAUUGGCCUUUGAAUAAAGAACGAACAAUAGUGGGUAUGCUUUUGUAUAUACAAAAGUCCUUUAGACAUUAAAUAUAAACAUCAACAGUAAAGCAACCUUAAUUUUAUUUUAAUGACAAUUACAAUAACAUCUACCAUUUACUUGGGUCUUAAUUUCAUGCCUGGCCAUAACAUAGAUUUAAACAUCACUACAAUCCUGAGAUGAUGUGGAAAAACAGACACUGUAGGGAGAUAGAGAGCUGGAGGCAGAGAUGCAAGUCAGAAACACCCAGGGAUUAAUCAUGCACUUUUCUCUGAGUGAGAACACGGCCUUACUGUUGCAGAAUUUGGCUCAAGAACCAGUACUUGAAGUUUAUUAAACAUUCCCUUGAAUGGAAGCACAGAGUGUAUAAAAUCUUUCUGAAAAGUGAUGUAAACCCAAAGUGUAAGAGGACAGAGCAAGAAAUGAAGAUUCUUAGAUUUAGGAAGACUCUACACUGGUAGAUAGUAUCUUCUGUAGCUACUUGCCUCAACAGCCACUUUGGAGGGUCAAAGGCACUGCACUCCCUUGCUUCUAUUUGGUCCUGUUCUACGUGACCACCUUGCUUUCUCUGGGUUCUGUUAUUUUUUAGUAAAUAAACUGAAAACUUACAGUUUAAAACUCACAGCAUGUAUAUGAUCUCUUCCUCCCCACCUGAGGGGUACAUGAAGCCGUGAAGCAGAUGUUCUACCCAUGCCAUACAGAUGAAGACACUGAGGUUUGGAGUGGGGUUAAGCAACUUGUCCAAGGUCAAAAUGGUAAAGUUUUAGUUGGAAAUACUGACAAGUUUUUCUUUUUCAUAUUGAAAACUGGUUUCUAUUUGAGCAGGUAUCUGUCAUUUAUUCUGUCUGCCCAAGAUUUUUUUUUUCAUUUGGGAACUCCCCUGGCCUUCACCUUUCCUUUCACUUGGUGGGAGUACCAAUCCAUGGCCCUGCCUACUGCACUCAGAAGGCUUUUGAGGAUCUGAAUGGGCUCUGGUGAUGUAAAGGCACAUACAUGUUCUUUUCUCUGGCAUGACUUGCUGUGAAGAAUGACAUACACUGAUAGCUACCAGUAGUUGUGGGUGAGAAGCUGAUUUAGAAUGGAGUCAACAUAGAGAAAAACAGAGCUGAGCGAUGGAGAAAAAGUCUUCGUUGCACCAUUCUAACUCCUAGAUCCAGCCAUGCCUACAGUCAAGCCCAUCUCUGGAUUUUCCCAUAUAUAUUUUGUCCCAUCUCUGCACUUCUUAGUCUGUUCCACUGAAAGCAACUGUU